rnacentral:rRNA from 1 species
AGAGUUUGAUCCUGGCUCAGGAUGAACGCUAGCGGCAGGCUUAACACAUGCAAGUCGUGGGGCAGCGCGCUGUAGCAAUACAGUGGCGGCGACCGGCGGAAGGGUGCGUAACACGUGAGCAACUUGCCCGUAACAGGGGGAUAAGCGCUGGAAACGGCGUCUAAUAUCCCAUAAUAUAUUUCACCGCAUGAUGGAAUAUUGAAAACUCCGGUGGUUACGGAUGGGCUCGCGGGACAUUAGCUAGUCGGCGGGGUAACGGCCCACCGAGGCGACGAUGUCUAGGGGUUCUGAGAGGAAGAUCCCCCACACUGGGACUGAGACACGGCCCAGACUCCUACGGGAGGCAGCAGUGAGGAAUAUUGGUCAAUGGGCGAGAGCCUGAACCAGCCAAGUAGCGUGCAGGAUGACGGCCCUACGGGUUGUAAACUGCUUUUGUAUGGGGAUAAAUUGCUCCACGUGUGGAGUAUUGCAGGUACCAUACGAAUAAGGACCGGCUAAUUCCGUGCCAGCAGCCGCGGUAAUACGGAAGGUCCGGGCGUUAUCCGGAUUUAUUGGGUUUAAAGGGAGCGCAGGCGGCCUUUUAAGCGUGACGUGAAAUGUAGGCGCUCAACGUCUGAAUUGCGUCGCGAACUGAUGGGCUUGAGUCUACGGAAUGCCGGCGGAAUUCGUGGUGUAGCGGUGAAAUGCUUAGAUAUCACGAAGAACUCCGAUUGCGAAGGCAGCUGGCAGCAGUCAGACUGACGCUCAUGCUCGAAAGUGCGGGUAUCGAACAGGAUUAGAUACCCUGGUAGUCCGCACGGUAAACGAUGGAUGCCCGCUGUUUGCCAUUUAGGCAAGCGGCCAAGCGAAAGCAUUAAGCAUCCCACCUGGGGAGUACGCCGGCAACGGUGAAACUCAAAGGAAUUGACGGGGGCCCGCACAAGCGGAGGAACAUGUGGUUUAAUUCGAUGAUACGCGAGGAACCUUACCCGGGCUUGAACUGCAGCAGAACGAAUCAGAGAUGAUGAGGCCCUUCGGGGCUGCUGUGGAGGUGCUGCAUGGUUGUCGUCAGCUCGUGCCGUGAGGUGUCGGCUUAAGUGCCAUAACGAGCGCAACCCUCUCUGCCAGUUGCCAUCACUGUGAGGUGGGCACUCUGGCGGUACUGCCACCGUAAGGUGUGAGGAAGGUGGGGAUGACGUCAAAUCAGCACGGCCCUUACGUCCGGGGCUACACACGUGUUACAAUGGCGCGUACAGAGGGCAGGUGCCGGGCAAUCGGCAUCGAAUCCUUAAAACGCGUCUCAGUUCGGACUGGGGUCUGCAACCCGACCCCACGAAGCUGGAUUCGCUAGUAAUCGCGCAUCAGCCAUGGCGCGGUGAAUACGUUCCCGGGCCUUGUACACACCGCCCGUCAAGCCAUGAAAGCCUGGGGCGCCUGAAGUCCGUGACCGCGAGGGUCGGCCUAGGGUGAGACAGGUGAUUGGGGCUAAGUCGUAACAAGGUAACCGUAA